rnacentral:rRNA from 1 species
AUUGAACGCUGGCGGCAGGCCUAACACAUGCAAGUCGAGCGGACGAAGGGAGCUUGCUCCAGGAUUCAGCGGCGGACGGGCGAGUAAUGCCUAGGAAUCUGCCUGGUAGAGGGGGAUAAGGUCCGGAAACGGGCGCUAAUACCGCAUACGUCCUGAUGGUGAAAGUGGGGGAUCUUCGGACCUCACGCUAUUAGAUGAGCCUAGGUCGGAUUAGCUAGUUGGUUGGGUAAAGGCCUACCAAGGCGACGAUCCGUAACUGGUCUGAGAGGAUGAUCAGUCACACUGGAACUGAGACACGGUCCAGACUCCUACGGGAGGCAGCAGUAGGGAAUAUUGGACAAUGGGCGAAAGCCUGAUCCAGCCAUGCCGCGUGUGUGAAGAAGGUCUUCGGAUUGUAAAGCACUUUUAGUUGGGAGGAAGGGCAGUAAGUUAAUCCCUUGCUGUUUUGACGUUACCAACAGAGUAAGCACCGGCUAACUUCGUG